CCUACGGGAGGCAGCAGUGGGGAAUCUUGCGCAAUGGGCGAAAGCCUGACGCAGCCAUGCCGCGUGAAUGAUGAAGGUCUUAGGAUUGUAAAAUUCUUUCACCGGGGACGAUAAUGACGGUACCCGGAGAAGAAGCCCCGGCUAACUUCGUGCCAGCAGCCGCGGUAAUACGAAGGGGGCUAGCGUUGCUCGGAAUUACUGGGCGUAAAGGGAGCGUAGGCGGACAUUUAAGUCAGGGGUGAAAUCCCGGGGCUCAACCUCGGAAUUGCCUUUGAUACUGGGUGUCUUGAGUAUGAGAGAGGUGUGUGGAACUCCGAGUGUAGAGGUGAAAUUCGUAGAUAUUCGGAAGAACACCAGUGGCGAAGGCGACACACUGGCUCAUUACUGACGCUGAGGCUCGAAAGCGUGGGGAGCAAACAGGAUUAGAUACCCUGGUAGUCCACGCCGUAAACGAUGAUUGCUAGUUGUCGGGAUGCAUNCAUUGUGACGCANNACNCAUANNANCNCUGGAGACGUCGCAGAUAAACUACAANAGAGUAGAGCGUGAGAGNGCGACGACGACACGAGGGAGAGG
rnacentral:rRNA from 1 species